GACGACACAAUUUUGGUGUUAGGCGGAGUUUGGAAAACUGUUGAAUCUGGGAGGUGGGAAUUUUCUGGGUAUCCAAAAGAGUUCGGCAGAUGUGUAGGAUUCUAUGAUGGCAUGACUUUUUUUUUUUUUUUGUCGGCAUGAUGGCAUGACUUACGACGAGUUUCUGGCUGCAGUUGUCAAUGUGUACGGGGUGGACAACAAAACAAAACGUCCACGCCUAAGUUUUUGGUAUGCUGGAGAGACCGAGGUGUUCACGCAACGCCAUAUGCCGCCCAUUUACAUCGGUUGCGAUGUAUCGUUUGGUC
rnacentral:lncRNA from 1 species